rnacentral:rRNA from 1 species
CAGGUGCAUGCCUCUAGCUUGAAGUCAGACAAGUGAACCCGC